ACUGCACAUUACGUGACCCAAACAACGCAAAUUAUUGUUCAGGUUUUGGGCAUUAAGCGACAGCCCCUUACUUAUUUCCAACUACAAAAACAAAAUUGGCAAAAACGAAGAACCUCUAAAAAUUUCUUCCAAAGGUUUAGGGUUCUUAGAGGGGGAAUUGAAAUCUAAAUCGAAAACCGAAAAUGUUGAGGGUAAACCGAGUGAUAAACCGGGCACGAGCUUCGAUUUCAAAUUGUCAGUACCUCCUAAGUCAUGACCCAAAGAUUUCCCCUUCACCUCCUCCACAUUUCGCUUCAAAAUCAUCCAUUCGCUUCUUCGAUGUUUACAAGCUUGCAAGCAAGGAAAAUAUCAAGAAAGAACGAGCAAGACUUGCUGAUGAAUUGAAUAGAGGAUAUUUUGAUGAUAUGUCUGAGCUAAAACAACACGGUGGUAAGAUUGCACUGGCAAAUAAGAUUCUAAUUCCCGGAAUUGCUGCAAGGAAGUUUCCUGCCGUGGAUGUGAUAUAUUCUGAUGGUAGAAAAUCAAAGCUGCCGAUUGUUUUUGAUGCAAGUGGCGUUGAUGCUAGCAAGUUGGCUGUCCCUGAAGCAUCUUUAGUCUGUCUAUCAUUUAGAGCAAACUCUCAGGCUAUGGUCGAUUCUUGGAGCAAGCCUUUUUAUGACGCCUUUAGUGAGUCCAAGAGCGUGCAGCUAUAUGAGGUAUCUUUUAUAGACUCUUGGCUUUUAUGCUUGAAUCCCAUUAAACGACUGCUUCUUCAAUUUAUGAGGAAAUCUAGUGAUGGAGCGAAGGAUGCUCUUCAGAGGCAUAUUGUUUAUUCAUUUGGUGAUCAUUAUUACUUCCGAAAGGAGCUUAAGAUACUGAACCUUCUAACUGGGUAUAUUUUCCUGCUUGACAAAUUUGGUAGAAUAAGAUGGCAAGGCUUUGGUUUUGCAAAGCAAGAAGAGUUGUCAUCGCUUAUUUAUUGCACGAAAGUUCUUCUGGAGGAAAAAUAGGUAGCCUGGCAUUUUUUAGGUACCGUAUUAUCUUAAUGGGUUAAUCUCCAUUUUUGCAUUCAAGGGAUACUAGUGUCAAAUGAAAAUAAUGAUGUGCUUUGUUGGAAACAUGGUCCUGUUUGCUGUUUUCUUUUCCAUUUUUACAUUGAAGGGAUACUUUUCAAAUAUAAUUUCUAAAAGUCAAGAAACCAUAUAGAAAAGAUUUCUGCAACCAAGCAAAGCCUUAGGUUUUCCAUUUUGAGAGAGCGAGUGAAAAGUAAAGAAGUAUCCUUAUGCUAGUAUACUUUUGGCUUGCCUGGAGUAGCUUAGUUCUUACACUAAAAGCCUGUUGGCUCAACAGGUUGAACAAGUUCACAGUUUUGAGAGACCUCAAUUUUGUUGCAGAAAACCUUGGUGUUGAGUUUUUCAAAGGUACUGUUGUGGUAUAAUAAUCUUCCCAUUACUGAUGAUGUGUAGAGUUGAAUGAAUUUUGUUUUAUUUUCUUCAACAAUUAGAAUAAAUUGUAUUUAUCUCUUCAA